rnacentral:rRNA from 1 species
GUGCCAGCAGCCGCGGUAAUACGAGGGAUCCUAGCGUUGUUCGGAAUCAUUGGGCGUAAAGGGUGCGUAGGUGGCCAAGUAAGUCAGUUGUGAAAGCCCCGGGCUCAACCCGGGAAGUGCUUCUGAUACUGCAUGGCUUGAAUGUUGGAGAGGUGAGUGGAAUUCCAGGUGUAGUGGUGAAAUACGUAGAUAUCUGGAGGAACACCGGUGGCGAAGGCGGCUCACUGGCCAUACAUUGACGCUGAGGCACGAAAGCGUGGGGAUCAAACAGGAUUAGAUACCCUCGUAGUCC